UGCAAGUCGAACGGUAACAGGAAGCAGCUUGCUGCUUUGCUGACGAGUGGCGGACGGGUGAGUAAUGUCUGGGAAACUGCCUGAUGGAGGGGGAUAACUACUGGAAACGGUAGCUAAUACCGCAUAACGUCGCAAGACCAAAGAGGGGGACCUUCGGGCCUCUUGCCAUCGGAUGUGCCCAGAUGGGAUUAGCUUGUUGGUGGGGUAACGGCUCACCUAGGCGACGAUCCCUAGCUGGUCUGAGAGGAUGACCAGCCACACUGGAACUGAGACACGGUCCAGACUCCUACGGGAGGCAGCAGUGGGGAAUAUUGCACAAUGGGCGCAAGCCUGAUGCAGCCAUGCCGCGUGUAUGAAGAAGGCCUUCGGGUUGUAAAGUACUUUCAGCGGGGAGGAAGGGAGUAAAGUUAAUACCUUUGCUCAUUGACGUUACCCGCAGAAGAAGCACCGGCUAACUCCGUGCCAGCAGCCGCGGUAAUACGGAGGGUGCAAGCGUUAAUCGGAAUUACUGGGCGUAAAGCGCACGCAGGCGGUUUGUUAAGUCAGAUGUGAAAUCCCCGGGCUCAACCUGGGAACUGCAUCUGAUACUGGCAAGCUUGAGUCUCGUAGAGGGGGGUAGAAUUCCAGGUGUAGCGGUGAAAUGCGUAGAGAUCUGGAGGAAUACCGGUGGCGAAGGCGGCCCCCUGGACGAAGACUGACGCUCAGGUGCGAAAGCGUGGGGGAGCAAACAGGAUUAGAUACCCUGGA
rnacentral:rRNA from 1 species